rnacentral:rRNA from 1 species
GAUCCUGGCUCAGAUUGAACGCUGGCGGCAGGCCUAACACAUGCAAGUCGAACGGUAACAGGAAGCAGCUUGCUGCUUUGCUGACGAGUGGCGGACGGGUGAGUAAUGUCUGGGAAACUGCCUGAUGGAGGGGGAUAACUACUGGAAACGGUAGCUAAUACCGCAUAACGUCGCAAGACCAAAGAGGGGGGACCUCGGCCGUCCUUGUCCACUCGGAUGUGCCACGAUGGGAGUUAGCUUG